CAACUUUACCAAAACUUGAUAAGGUUAAAAAUGACAUCAAAGUGAACAGGCGUUAAGUAUCAUGAUGAAGAAGCGGAUUUCCUUCUGCCGUAUUUGGGCUGUUCUGAUAGUCACCUUCUUGGCCCACUAUCUGUUGGGCCAUUGGUCAUAAUGGGCCGUGCGGCUCACUUGCUCACCUCGCACACUGUUCGCCUCACACGAUGAGCUCGAGAGGCCGACCACGAGCUCCGGCGGCGGCGGAAAGCGCAGCGGUUCCCGGUCGUCGGCCGGCCAGGUCUUAUAGAGAGAAAGGCUUGGCAGCCAGGUUUCGCGCGGGGGCCGACGUUUCCUGCACAGAUCUGGCUCAGGUGGUAGCCGUCGGCCGGUCAGAUCAGGCGUGGGGAGUCAGGCGGGACGGCGGUGACUCGGAGGGAGGGCGAAACGUCGAUUCACGCUUCAGUUCUUGUUCCGUUUGCUGGGUGUGAUGGUGUGAAGAACUGAAGAUCUGCAGCCCCUGGGCCGUUGGAGUGAUUGUUGGAAGGUCACGCAUUGAGAGAGUGGCAAAUGGCCAAACGCUCAAUCCAUCCAUGCUCACAUCACUCAAGAUUAGUUAUAAAGAGUUAAAGACAGUACCUAACUACCUGGAUUGGUGAUAUAAUUGGAAGGUAGGAAGGAUGAUCUUGCUGCAACAAGAGUGUCAACAGGUGGAUUUCAUCUAUGCACUCGUAAUUCCUCGCCAACAAACCGAUAAGCGAAGCAGACCACCGUAUGAUUGGGAUCCUUUUCCCUGUUGCUGCUCCCACGGUAGACAAGAUCAUUCUUUGUUGUGCAGAUCAUGUACUCGUCAUUCACCCACAAUGUUGCCAGCAGUGGACCAUGGGCAAGUAAGAGAAGCACCUGCUGCCUCAUGACUGACGUCUUUCUGGACAUUUUUGUACAUAUGAUAUCCAUUUAUUGAGGAAAUUCUAAAAGAAGGCUGUAAUGCAUCAAAUUCUUGACGGUGCAGUGCUUCUGAUCCGGAUUAACUGAUUAAGUGCUUAGUUAUUGGUGGUGCUCAAGCCAGGUGUAGGUAAAAUGCAUCUCUGGAUUGCAUUUGACUCGAUGGUAGCUCUAAUUUGCAGUUUUUUUUUUUUUUGGAAUAGAGUGGCAUGCACAUUUUUCAUGAUAUGUCCAAGACACCACAUGAGGCUCUUUGCUGAUAAAGGAGUAAUUUUGAUAUAGAAUCUGGCAAAAUUAUUUGCACAUAUGAAGAUCCAUCCCUUAUCAUCGCAUCUGGAAUCCACACAGGAUAAACGCAAUGCAUCGAUUGUGAUAUGGUUUAUUCACAGUGGGAAAUAAACAUGGAAAGUAAUGGCUAAGGCAAUUGGAUUUUGGGGUGCUAUACAUAAUCAACGAAUUAUUAUUCAGAGACAUGAUAGUACUUCCUAAGAGGUCAGUAUACAUUUUCUUCUCAGAAAUAGUGACGCUAUUCAUAUUUCUUCUAACUUAUAUUUGCAAGGCAACAUGAUGGUUUCUGGGAUGGCUUUUUAAGAGAUUAUUCUGACAAGGGUUAGGGAAUUACCUCUCGUCUGGGAUGGCCAGAUUGGAACUCAGCAGACUCGCUGAUGACUGUCAUGAUGAAGCUGGGAUGGUCUUCGCCAGAGGAAAUGGCACAGCUUGCCGUGUCUCUCGGGGCUACUUGUAUUCUUGCUCCCUGGAUGGGCUGCUCGCCGGAAAACCCAACAUGAUCGCUGGGGCAGGAGGCCACAAGGAUGAGGACGGGAGGAAAGUCAAGCUUCCAGCUAAUGUAGCCGUGGGCAAGAGCGUUUUCCGGCGAAGACGAGCAGCCGGAGAGAUGUACACCGGCGCCGGCCCCAGCGCAGCAGUCUGCUUCUGCAAUUUCUCUCUCGUCAUGAUGGCUGGAGCAGGGGAUGGCUCUCACGCCUGGACGAUCGUCGCUAGAAGUCGGAGACGAGGAGGAGAAGGAGCAGUAGCAGGAGGAAUGAUGUGAAGCGCCAGCGGGAGCUUCCUCUGCGCCAUCCUUGCCGUGAACCCGGUCCAUCGCAUCAGGUGUUUCUUGGUCAAGUUCUUGGCUUCUUGAAUUCACCGGCCGGGGAAUCGUCACAAGGUUCGCCGGCGGGAGACGAGCAGCAACAAUACCUCAACGCCGGUGGCGCCCGCCUCACCCUCGUGCCCUUUCUUGGUUCCGGAGGUGGGAUCCUGGCCCUGGGAGGCGACGAGGCGGAGGUUGACGGGAAGAUGCAGGCGGGGGCAAGAACUCAACGCCGGUGGCGCGAUGGGCUGGAACGGAGGUGCCUGCUUCACCGUCGUGUUCUUUCUCGAUUGCCGAGGUGGGGAUCCUCCGAUCCUGGGAGGUGACGAGACGAGGCGGAGGUUGACGGGAGGAUGGAGAAAACAGAGACGAGGAGGAAGGGGCGGAAGGAGGAAGAAGAAGAAGAGGAGGGAAACAAGCAGCUUUAAACAGGGUUGGGAUGCUUGGAGAUUCGUGAGAAGAAGUGCUUCCCCACCGUUUGAUUAUGUUCCUUGAUUCGUGUAUACAUCUCGACCUACGACUUACAUCCAGGACUGCGUCUCUGCGUCGGCGGCUGGCUUCGAUCCAGGUGUUGGAACUUGGAGUUGGAGGCUCCGAUCGAGAUGGGAAUCCGCCGCAUGGCUUCCCGCGACCACCAGCACAGCCUCAAGGAAACGACGGCGAAGCGUGGCCGCCGACGAGGAUCAGCUAGCUAGCACUUGAUCGAUGAUCAUCGCUGCGUGCGUCGCUCCGGGGUCAGCGUGUUCCUCCACGUCUGCCUCUGCCGAGCAAGAGGAUCAGCUAGCUUGAGGUGCAGCGGCUAGGCUACCCGUCGAGGCGUCGACCAUUGGGAGGACGCACACGCCGGCCGGGCUCACCGCCAUACGCACCAGCAAUUGAGCCAGAGGGGGACGGAUGGCGAGUUCAGGCAUCCCUUUAUCUGGCAUCUGCGCCGCCGCCCGACACACGUGAGCGGCUGCAAGAUUCAUGUAGGGGUUCUGUACUCUACUAAUUCAUCAUUGGUGCAAUUCAUUUGUACUGUAUUAUAUCCAGUGUUCUAAAUCUCCGGAGAUUUAGAGCAUUGAUUAUAUCAAAACACGUAUAACGAAUCAUAUAUAUUUUUCGAUAUACACUACCUGAUUAGCAAUCGCCCAUGGAUUGUUUUCUAGUACUAGCUCAUAUGUUGAGAUUUCUGUGAGUAAUCGCCGAGUUGUCACAACAUUUUUAAGUUUUAACUUUCGAAUGCCUGCGAGCUGUUCUUA